UACGUAGGCAGCGAGCGUUGUUCGGAGUUACUGGGCGUAAAGCGCGCGUAGGCGGUUACUUAAGUCGGAUGUGAAAGCCCUCGGCUUAACUGAGGAAGUGCACCCGAAACUGAGUAGCUGGAGUACGAAAGAGGGUCGCGGAAUUCCCGGUGUAGAGGUGAAAUUCGUAGAUAUUGGGAAGAACACCGGUGGCGAAGGCGGCGACCUGGUCCAUUACUGACGCUGAGGCGCGACAGCGUGGGGAGCAAACAGG
rnacentral:rRNA from 1 species